rnacentral:rRNA from 1 species
GAACGAAAGGCUAGGGUAGCAAACCGGAUUAGAUACCCGGGUAGUCCUAGCAGUAAACAUUCCCCAAUUUGAUGUUGCUUUUCCGUUGAGGGAAGGCAGUGUCGGAGCGAAGGUGUUAAAUGGGCCGCUUGGGAAGUAUGGUCGCAAGACUGAAACUUAAAGGAAUUGGCGGGGGAGCACCGCAACGGGAGGAAUGUGCGGUUUAAUUGGAUUCAACGCCGGAAAACUCACCGGGAACGACCUGUGCAUGAGAGUCAACCUGACGAGCUUACUCGAUAGCAGGAGAGGUGGUGCAUGGCCGUCGUCAGCUCGUACCGUAGGGCGUUCACUUAAGUGUGAUAACGAGCGAGACCCACAUCUUUAAUUGCAAAUGUAUAUGAGGAUAUGCAUGCACUUUAGAGAAACCGCCAGCGCUAAGCUGGAGGAAGGAGUGGUCGACGGCAGGUCAGUACGCCCCGAAUUUCCCGGGCUACACGCGCAUUACAAAGAACGGGACAAUACGUUGCAACCUCGAAAGAGGAAGCUAAUCGCGAAACCCGUCCAUAGUUAGGAUUGAGGGCUGUAACUCGCCCUCCAUGAAUCUGGAUUCCGUAGUAAUA